ensembl:lncRNA
GUCCCUUGGACUGCAAGGAGAACCAACCAGUCCAUCCUAAAGUAGAUCAGUCCUGGGUGUCCAUUGGAAGGACUGAAGCUGAAGCUCCAAUACUUUGGCCACCUGAUGUGAUGAGCCAACUCAUUGGAAAGGACCCUGAUCCGGGAAAGACUGAUGGGAGGAGAAGGGGACAACAGAGGAUGAGAUGGUUAGAUAGCAUCACUGACUCAAAGCACAUGAGUUUGACUCAGUGGACACUCUCUCCUGGGAGAGAGUGAAGGACAGGGAAUCUUGGUGUGCUGCAGAUCAUGGGGCUGCAAAGAGUCAGACAAGACUUGGUGACUGAACAACAGCAACAGUGGUGCUCUCUCAGGAGUGGGGGCAGGCAGGUCACUGUGGGAUCCAGGCUUCAGUCCUAGGAGAAGGGCAGUCAUGCCAUGGCUCUGGGGGACAGGAGGGCACCCAGUAUGUUCAGUGAGAAAAAGGACCCUGAGGCUGAUCCAAAGGUAAGGUUUAGGCCAGAGAGGCAGAGGUAGAGACACACGACAGGCCCUGGUUAGCAGUCCCUGCCUGGGCCCUGUUUGGAAGCAGUGCUGAGCCUGCAUCUGGACUCAGUUGGAAAGGAUUCUGAGGUCGAUUAGCCAUGUCUGCCCUGGACCAAGGGAGGGGGAGUAGUAGUUAUUUAGAAAGCAUUUGCAACCCGCACUUAGAUGUUUCUUGGCUUUGAGAAUAUUCUUCUUUUGGUUAAAUGCUUAUUCAGGCUUCCCAGGUGGCUCAGAUGGUAAAGUGUCUGCCUACAAUGCAGGAGACCUGGGUGCGAUCCCUGGGUUGGGAAGAUUCCCUGGAAGAGGCCACGGCAACCCACUCCUGUACUCUUGCCUAGAAAAUCCCAUGGACGGAGGAGCCUGGUAGACUACGGUCCAUGGGGUCACAAAGAGUCAGACACGACUGAGCAACUUCACUUUAAAUGCUUAUCAUCUUCCACAAACAGGAAUCUUACGUCUCCUUCCCUGAUUAACCUGAGCGAGUCCACGGUUUUGGAGUUACACCGCAUCACAAGUCCUAGUGGGGGAGAGUCGUCAGGCAUACACAAAGAGAAAGUCAAACAGAGUUCUUAAUGAGAAUUUAAAAUUCACAGAACACAGGGAAGUUUAAUUUAUCUCAUAUUUAUUUAUAUGGUACUUAGUACAAGCUGGCUUAUAAAAAAAUCCUGAGCUUUACAGAUGUUAACUCAUUUACUCUUCAUAACAACCCUAAAAGAUAGGUUCUAGUAUUAACCUCAUUUUACAAAUGGGAGAGCUAAAGCCCAGAGGAGCUAAGCAACUUGUCCACGGUCACAUAGCUUUGUGAACUCAAGCAGUCUGAUGCCAGUCUGCAUGAUUAAAUCAACUGAGUCCACAUUUCUGUUUUGCUUUCCUUGUGGUAUUGUGCCUUCUAUGCUUCAUGUUUGUUUUCCAGAAUGGACUGUGAAUUUUGAAGGAAUGGAUCAUAUUUAAUUUAAUUUCUUUUUCCCCCACACUUUGCAGUGUGCAGGAUCGAAGUUCCCUGACCAAAGAUUGAACCCUCGCAGUAGGAGGUAGAGUCUUAACCGCUGGACUGCUGGGGAUAUCCCUUAACUUUUUUAAAUUUGUUUUAGGAUGACAUUUUACUGUGUAUAAGUAUCUGACACACAGGAGGAGCUGAAACAAGUCUACUAUUAGUGGUAUGAUUUGGGGAAUCAGUCAUUUUGUAUUUGAGUCAUUUUCCAUUAGUGUGUCUGGUUCCACCACUAGAGUGAGCUUCUGAGGGUGGGACUGUGAGUUAUUUCUUUCUCUGUCCCCAUGAUCUAACACAGUAGAGAGGAGACCCUCUCUCAUUUGUUCAUCAAUCCAUUAGCUCAUUCAACAAAAAUUGACUAAGAACAAGCAUCAUGCUUAGUGCUAGGAAUGAACAAAAUAGAAGAAAUUUCUGUCUCUGUGGCUUAAUUCCAACCUCGCAAGAACAGAUAUUAAAAAAAUGAUGCCGGCAUUCCUUAACGUUGACACGUUUGUGCAUUUUGCCAAAAAUAAUACUAGAUUAUCUGUCACGGCAACUUGCAGUUCCUUCCUUUGCAUACUGUGUGAUGAAGUCAAGUCGCCAACAGCUGUUUACUUCCUCUUUUACGGACCAGCAGCCCUGGUAGCCCACUGUUAGUCAGAUCUCAUGUUUAAAGGUAAGAGCGAGCCCUUUUGGUGUAGAGCCGGCGCAAGAGUGAUUGGGUUCCCACAAGGCGAGGGGGAACCGCGUCAUCCCCUUUUGUUAUAUGAAAAGCUUCAAGCCUUAUUAAGUGAUGACAGAGAGUGCACUUGGCUUCUGGGAUUUCUUUGAAGGCUUGCCUGUGGCCUGCCGCCUGGAAGCAGGAAUGAUUCCACAAAUGGUCUGGGAGCCACCGUGCAGACCGCCCCUCGCACCAGGUCCAGGUGUGUAAACAGAGCAGACAGGCCCUCCCCCCAGGAGAGGGAAUUCCGAGGGUGGACAGCUGGAAAGGAGCGGCGUUCCGGGCCGCUUUUCCUCCCGCAGUAUCUCAAACAUUCUCUUGACCCACUUUUCCAGUUCUCUGAGGCUGCUAAUGCCAUUAAGAUCCUCCUAAUGGAAAAGGAGCAGGCUUUCUUCAGGACCCACCAGGAGUAGGUGGCCAAGGCAGG